rnacentral:rRNA from 1 species
CCUCAGUAACUGCGAGUGAAGUGGCAAAAGCUCAAAUUUGAAAUCCGGUACCAGUGGUGCCCGAGUUGUAAUUUGGAGAGACAAAUUUUGUCGAUGGCACCGGCCUAGGUUCCUUGGAACAGGACAACAUAGAGGGUGAGAAUCCCGUGCCUGGCUGGACUGCUGUUGCGCCGAUAAAUUGUCUUCGACGAGUCGAGUUGUUUGGGAAUGCAGCUCAAAAUGGGUGGUAAAUGUCAUCUAAAGCUAAAUAUUGGCGAGAGACCGAUAGCGCACAAGUAGAGUGAUCGAAAGAUGAAAAGCACUUUGAAAAGAGAGUCAAAAAGUACGUGAAAUUGCUGAAAGGGAAGCGCUUGAGACCAGACUCGAGCCGUGGUGAUCAGCUGUGCUUCUGUACGGUGUCACUCGUCACGGUUUGGGCCAGCAUCGGUUCUGGCGGCCGGAUAAAAGGUGGGGGAAUGUAGCUUCCUCUGGGGAGUGUUAUAGUCCCCAUCAAAAUGCGGCCAGCUGGGACUGAGGACCGCGCUUCAGGGCUAGGAUGCUGGCGUAAUGGUCUUAAGCGACCCGUCUUGAA